UCCAACUCCAAAGUCAAAGAACCCCAAAUAGUGAAAACCCUUCCAUCCACUUCAUGACGAGCUUCCUUCUUUGCAAUUUCGAGCCACUGUUCAAGUUUGUAAUUACAUAUUAGUCUUACCGCUCCAAUACAAUUUGGUAAGCUAAAGUAUUUGAUUAAAUCAGUUAUGUUAUUUUGUCCUUUUAAAUUUAGGUAUAAUUGUUAUCUUAGAUUGUUGGUCCUGAAAUUUGAUGUUACGAGUUGUGUUCUUUCACUCCAAUAUUGCACUUAUAUUUGUGAUGAAAUCACUGCUUAAUGUUAAAGGUUCUCUAAGAAGUAACCUGGAUUUGAGAAGCUUCCGAACUUCUCUUUUUUCUCAUUUAUUUUUCUUUAAAUUUCAGUAAGUAAUUCGAAUGUUUUAUUAUGUGUAGAGACUCUCUUUCUAGAUGGAAACUACCAAUGAAAUAGAUGUGGAGAUGAUUGUCAAUGAUCCUCUGAUUGUGUCAGUGGCACCUCAAAAGAAAGGUAAAAACACUCCUCAUACACGCACUCCUCCUAAAAAGCAAAAAAGAACAAAUCCUUCAGAUCCCGAUUCUAAGCCUAAUAAUACUAGAAGAGAAACAUCUGAUAAUUGGAAUCACUUUAAAAAAUUUAUUGAUAAAGGAGGCAAACGUAGAGCAAAAUGCAAUUAUUAUGUAAAACACUUUACUUCCGAGACCAAGACUAAUGGAACUUCUACUUUAUGGAAUCAUUUAAAUUUGAUGUGUCUUAAAUCUCCCUUUAGAUUUGUUGAUAGGAAGCAAUCUACAUUGAAACUUACACCUAUCCAAGAAGGGGGACAAGAAAUUGGUAAAAGUUCUAUUGGAAGGGUGGUGUAUAAUAUGGAGGAUAUUAGGAGGGCAACUGCCUAAUUUGUUAUUAUUGACGAGCAUCCAUUUAAGUUGUUGAGGGAGAAGGAUUUAAAAAGUUAAUGGCUAAGGCUUUGCCUAAUUUUGAAUUACCUUCUCGUGUAACUGUGGCUAGAGAUUGUUUGAAGAUUUAUCAAGAGGAGAAAGAAAAACUGAAAAAAACUUAUCAAGAACCUACAUGUAUGUCUUACUAGUGAUAUAUGGUCUUCACUCCAAACUUUUACUUAUAUGGUUGUCACCUUCCAUUGGAUUGAUGAUAAAUGGAAUAUACAAAAGAAGAUACUUAACUUUUUCCAAACACCAGAUCACAAGGGAGAGACUAUUGCUAAGGGUAUUGAAGCUUGUAUGUUAGAGUGGGGUAUUGAGAACUUGUUUACGGUGAUGCUAGAUAAUGCAAGUGCGAAUAAUUCUUCUAUUAAGCAUUUGAAGGCACAUAUUGAUGACUGGAAAGGAGUAAUAUUGGAAAAGGAGUUUUUACAUGUUAGAUGUAAUGCACAUAUUUUGAACUUGAUUGUAAAAGAUGGGUUAGAUGAACAAAUUGAGCCCAUUUCUCGUAUUAGAAAUGCGGUAAAAUAUGUCAAGUCUUCCUCUUCAAGGUUUGAUUCUUUCAAGUCACAUGUUGAGAAAGUUAAGAUAGACAAUCAUGGUCUUUUGAGUCUUGAUGUUGAGACUAGGUGGAACUCUACAUAUAUAAUGUUAGAUACAACUGUGAAAUUUGAAAAGGCCUUUACAAGAAUGUACGUUGAUGACCAUAAGUAUCAAAAGUAUUGUCGAGAGGUAACAAAAGGACAUACAUCUGCUGAUGAUUGGAAGAUUGUGAAAGCUUUUAUCAUGUUCCUUAAUAUUUUUUACCAGACCACUUUAAAAUUUUCAGGAAGCUUAUAUGUUAUUUCGAAUGCAUUCUUCCAUGAAUUUUUUAAUGUUCGAAAUGCUAUUAUAAAGUAUUCUUAUAGUGAAGAUCUUAUUUUGAUUGAUAUGGCUAACAAGAUGAAAGGAAAGUUUGAUAAAUACUGGGGUAUGUUUGAGAAUUUGAACAUGUUAUUGUUCAUUGUUGUUGUGCUGGAUCCCAGAUAUAAGAUGAAGUAUGUGAACUUCAUUCUUAGUAUAUCAUAUAAUCCUUUGGUGAGAAAAUUGAAAUCAGAUCAGGUGACAGGUGCUUUGACUCAUUUGUAUGAUCAUUACAAUAAUUCUUUCUCUGAAUCUUCUAAUGACAAUUCUGGAGGUGAAACUAGUAUGGUGACUGAAGUUGGUGAUAUUUUGCUAUUUCGCUGGGAGAAAUAUUUGGAAGAUGAGGGAGAUGUUGAAAAAAAAAUCUGAGCUUGAAAAAUACUUGACGGAUAAUGUGGAGAAGACCAAGGAUUUAAAUAUCUUGGUUUGGUGGAAAGCUUCAUCUAGUAAAUAUCCAAUUCUUUCAAAAAUGGCAAGGGAUGUUCUUUCAAUUUCUAUUUCUACUAUUGCAUCUGAGUCAGCUUUCAGUACAUGUGGUCGAAUUCUCGAUUCUUACCGAAGUUCUUUAUCACCAAAGAUGGUAGAAGCUCUUAUUUGUACUCAACAAUGGAUAAAGUCACCUAAGGAAUGCAAGCUUCAAGAUUAUCUAGAAGAAAUUAAAAAAAUUGAGCAAGUUGAAGAAGGUAAUUUUAUAUAUUUAAUUCAUAAUGAAUUUGAUUCUAUCUUUAUAUUGUUUAACAUGUAACUGUUUUUUUUCCCAGAAUGUCCAGGUGACCCUUUGAGUAUUGAUUAGUUCAGAACUUUAGUUAAACAAAAUAAUGUCAACCUAUUCAUGGUGCUUGGUUGCUUG
rnacentral:lncRNA from 1 species